rnacentral:rRNA from 1 species
UACGUAGGGGCCUAGCGUUGUCCGGAUUUAUUGGGCGUAAAGAGCUCGUAGGCGGUUUGGUGAGUCGGGUGUGAAAUCUCCACGCUCAACGUGGAGGGGCCACCCGAUACUGCCAUGACUAGAGUCCGGUAGGGGAGUGUGGAAUUCCCGGUGUAGCGGUGAAAUGCGCAGAUAUCGGGAGGAACACCAGUGGCGAAGGCGCCGCUCUGGGCCGUGACUGACGCUGAGGAGCGAAAGCGUGGGUAGCAAACAGG